UUAAGGAUAGAAAAAUCUUAUUCAUCCUAUCAUACCUUGACAAUAGGUUUUCAUCACUAGAUGCAAUCGAGAAUACUGCAAUGUUCCCCAACUUAAACCACUGGGAUUAGGUGAAUGAUACUGAUGUUUUGACAUUUGAAAAGUUGUUUCAUGCUCGUUGAAGAUUCUAAAAGGUUUGACAAAUAUUACUAUCAAAUGUAAAGUUGAAUGAUUAAUCAAUUUCCUUAUAAGACCCCAUAUUUUUAUCCCUCCUUUGAUGGAGUAGGAGGAUGUUAAUCUUAUAUCAAAAGAAAGUCGCACGAGGCUGAUCCAGAAUAUAAUACUUUUACAGAUUUAGCACCGG
rnacentral:lncRNA from 1 species